GCCAGGCAUGGUGGCUCGUGCCUGUAAUCCCAGCACUUUGGGAGGCUGAGGCAGGGGUUUCACCUGAGGUCAGGAGUUCAAGACCAGCCUGGCCAACGUGGUGAAACCCUGUCUCUA
rnacentral:SRP_RNA from 1 species